rnacentral:rRNA from 1 species
GCAUUACGCCCAGCGGGCGGAAUUUCUUCUCUGAGUUGCACAAGCAAAAACAAAUGAAUCAAAACUUUCAACAACGGAUCUCUUGGUUCUGGCAUCGAUGAAGAACGCAGCGAAAUGCGAUAAGUAAUGUGAAUUGCAGAAUUCAGUGAAUCAUCGAAUCUUUGAACGCACAUUGCGCCCGCCAGCAUUCUGGCGGGCAUGCCUGUUCGAGCGUCAUUUCAACCCUCGAGCCCCCCCCGGGGGCCUCGGUGUUGGGGGACGGCACACCAGCCGCCCCCGAAAUGCAGUGGCGACCCCGCCGCAGCCUCCCCUGCGUAGUAGCACACACCUCGCACCGGAGCGCGGAGGCGGUCACGCCGUAAAACGCCCAACUUUCUUAAAGUUGACCUCGAAUCAGGUAGGAAUACCCGCUGAACUUAAGCAUAUC